AGAAGCCUCAUCUCCUCUCUAGAGCCUCCUUUAGAGCAUGGCUGGACUGGUGUUGCUCCUCUUCCUGGUGACCUUUCCAAGCUGUAUCCUGUCCCAGGUGCAGCUGAAGGAGUCAGGUCUUGACCUGGUGCAGCCCUCACAGACCCUGUCUCUCACCUGCACUGUCUCUGGAUUCUCAUUAACUAGCUAUAAUGUACACUGGGUUCGCCAGCCUCCAGGAAAGGGUCUGGAGUGGAUGGGAGCUAUGUGGCGUGGUGGAGGAACAGAUUAUAAUUCAGCUCUCAAAUCCAGACUGAGCAUCACCAGGGAUACCUCCAAGAGCCAAGUUUUCUUAAAAAUGAACAAUAUGCAAACUGAAGACACAGCCAUGUACUACUGUGCCAGAAACACAGUGAUAGAAGUCCAUUUUGAGCUGGCACAAAACCCUCCUUACAAGGUGUUCAGGACCAGCAGGGGGCGCUGA